UGUUUGAAACAGCAGUUAACAUUAAUCGAAACUAAGUUUUCUUAUCAAAAGGCAAUUUUAUACCAACAACUUGCUGACAAAAAUUAUGCAAUUCUUGUACUGCAAAAUGACAUUGAUACUGAUUUUACAGGAAGAGUUGGAGGAAAUUCAGCAAGUAACACAAAACACCAAAACUCAAAAACACUACUCAGCAGAUAUUAGAACACUUAUAUACGAUAUGCUUGUGUGUUAAGUUCCUGGUUUCAUUCACUACACAAUUCAUUUUCUACACAAUUCUGCAAUACAAACUUCGCUACAAGGAUGCAAAAGUGAUCCAAAGGGUUUUGGGUUCUUUUUGGACCAACACGAGUUGCCCAGAACAUUGCUACCACGCUAUAGAGGGAACAGAAUACAUAUGCUUUUUCACACAUGUGGUACUUUGAUCUAUAAUUAUUCCAUAUUGAAGAUAUUUUUGUGUUCUGGCUUGACAUUAUGUGAAUGUCUGCAAAAUGGUUUGUUUCAAGACUUUACAUCUGAAACAGGAAAUCAUUCUCCUCUUCUCUAUUUUGUAAUGGGUUUUUCAGUUAUUGUGUUAAAUAUCUAAUGUAUUUUUAUUUAUCUGUUAUUUCAAGAUUUUAACUAAUAGCAUGCUAAAAGAUUGCAA